AUAACGACGACGACGACGACGCGCUUCCUCCUCCUCGAAACCCCACCAUCCAAAACCUACGACUCCAUCUUCUCCCGUCGAUCGCUCUUCGGAUUCGCCGUUUGAUCGACGCAGAAUCCGUCACCUUCCAUCGAUCUCGCGCGCUUCGCUGCCGCCGAGCGCUGGGAACCGCCGGGUCGCGAGGUUUUAGGGUUGGAUACGAGAGGAGCGGCGGCGGAUGAGCGGUUGCCGCGGCGGCGAGAGGGGCGGAGGAGAGCCGGAAGGAUGGCACAGCCAGAAUUGGCUCCCCGAGGGAGCUGGGUGGCGUCGGCUUACAGGGGCAUGUCCGCCGACAAUAUCAAGGGCCUGGUGCUUGCCCUCUCCUCGAGCGCCUUCAUCGGCGCCAGCUUCAUCAUCAAGAAGAAGGGCCUAAAGAAGGCUGCGGCCUCCGGGAUUAGGGCUGGUGAGGAGAACUUCGCUUCUUGAUUAGGUUUCUGUCCCUUUCUCUGUGUUGGCAUCACUUUCUUGAUACUCUUGCUGAUCUGCUGAUGAGACCCUCUUUUUGUACUUCUUUUGGUAAAUUUUUUGUCACCAUUGACGAAAAAAUUCCUCCUUUAUCGAAGUUGGAUGGAAAAAACAGAAAACCCGACCAAAUCAUCCCGAUCGAUGAAACAACAUCACCCGCAAUAGUUUACUAGUAGAAUAAUGCUAGUCACCAAUGCAGCUUGAUGUCUAAAUACCGUACAUUAUGUGGGUACUUGAUUUCAUCCGAGAUCUUAAUUGGUUUCAUCUGAUUACAGGGGUCGGAGGUUAUUCUUACUUAUACGAGCCACUUUGGUGGAUUGGCAUGAUCACAAGUAAGAUUGCUUUUUCAUUCCAUUAGCAUGGUAUCUACUAUCUUUAUUAGUCCACGAGCUAUUUGUGUCGUUGUCAUCAAGAGAUCUUGUGCUGUGCAUUAUUGAUUACCGCCUAGCUGCUUUGUGCUGGACCUGAGCCCAAGCAUGUACCAAGGGUUGGUAAAUGGUCUCACACUAAGCUUGCUGAAAUGGACCAUGCAGACCUUCGUGGCC
rnacentral:lncRNA from 1 species